AGUUGCAAUGUGGCCCAUCAGGCCACCAUCACCGGGUCAACCUCUCUUCUUUCCACCACCAUUUGGUCCACCUCUUACCACCACAACAUAAUUCCCAGUUCUCAUAUUUAAGUUUUGGGUAAAUUACAUAGUAGCCCCUCAAGUUUGAGGUCUAUUACAAUCGCAUACAACAACUUCAAAACAUUUCACUUUCAUACCUCAACUACUAUUUUAUUUCAAUAUAGUACCUCCGUUACAUUUUCCAUCCAUUAAUCCGUUAAAUGC
rnacentral:lncRNA from 1 species